rnacentral:rRNA from 1 species
UACGUAGGGUGCGAGCGUUGUCCGGAAUUACUGGGCGUAAAGAGCUCGUAGGUGGUUUGUCGCGUUGUUCGUGAAAACUCGCAGCUUAACUGUGGGCGUGCGGGCGAUACGGGGCAGACUGGAGUACUGCAGGGGAGACUGGAAUUCCUGGUGUAGCGGUGGAAUGCGCAGAUAUCAGGAGGAACACCGGUGGCGAAGGCGGGUCUCUGGGCAGUAACUGACGCUGGAGGAGCGAAAGCGUGGGGAGCGAACAGG